GGCCAGACUCCUACGGGAGGCAGCAGUGGGGGAUAUUGCACAAUGGGGGGAACCCUGAUGCAGCGACGCCGCGUGGGUGAAGAAGCGCCUCGGCGCGUAAAGCCCUGUCAGCAGGGAAGAAAAUGACGGUACCUGAAGAAGAAGCCCCGGCUAACUACGUGCCAGCAGCCGCGGUAAUACGUAGGGGGCAAGCGUUAACCGGAAUUACUGGGUGUAAAGGGAGCGUAGACGGUGAUGCAAGUCUGGAGUGAAAGGCGGGGGCCCAACCCCCGGACUGCUCUGGAAACUGUAUGACUUGAGUGCAGGAGAGGUAAGCGGAAUUCCUAGUGUAGCGGUGAAAUGCGUAGAUAUUAGGAGGAACACCAGUGGCGAA
rnacentral:rRNA from 1 species